CACGUAGGGUGCGAGCGUUGUCCGGAAUUACUGGGCGUAAAGGGCGCGUAGGCGGCUUGACAAGUCACUUGUGAAAUCUCCGGGCUUAACUCGGAACGGCCAAGUGAAACUGUCAUGCUAGAGUGCAGAAGGGGCAAUCGGAAUUCUUGGUGUAGCGGUGAAAUGCGUAGAUAUCAAGAGGAACACCUGAGGUGAAGACGGGUUGCUGGGCUGACACUGACGCUGAGGCGCGAAAGCCAGGGGAGCAAACGGG
rnacentral:rRNA from 1 species